GAUCAUGGCUCAGGAUGAACGCUAGCUACAGGCUUAACACAUGCAAGUCGAGGGGAAACGACAUCGAAAGCUUGCUUUUGAUGGGCGUCGACCGGCGCACGGGUGAGUAACGCGUAUCCAACCUGCCCACCACUUGGGGAUAACCUUGCGAAAGUAAGACUAAUACCCAAUGAUAUCCCACGAAGGCAUCCGAAUGGGAUUAAAGAUUUAUCGGUGAUGGAUGGGGAUGCGUCUGAUUAGCUUGUUGGCGGGGUAACGGCCCACCAAGGCUACGAUCAGUAGGGGUUCUGAGAGGAAGGUCCCCCACAUUGGAACUGAGACACGGUCCAAACUCCUACGGGAGGCAGCAGUGAGGAAUAUUGGUCAAUGGGCGAGAGCCUGAACCAGCCAAGUAGCGUGCAGGACGACGGCCCUAUGGGUUGUAAACUGCUUUUAUAAGGGAAUAAAGUGAGUCUCGUGAGACUUUUUGCAUGUACCUUAUGAAUAAGGACCGGCUAAUUCCGUG
rnacentral:rRNA from 1 species